rnacentral:rRNA from 1 species
AACGAACGCUGGCGGCAUGCCUAACACAUGCAAGUCGAACGAGACCUUCGGGUCUAGUGGCGAACGGGUGCGUAACGCGUGGGAACCUGCCUUUAGGUUCGGAAUAACUCAGAGAAAUUUGAGCUAAUACCGGAUGAUGUCUUCGGACCAAAGAUUUAUCGCCUUUAGAUGGGCCCGCGUUGGAUUAGCUAGUUGGUGGGGUAAAGGCCUACCAAGGCGACGAUCCAUAGCUGGUCUGAGAGGAUGAUCAGCCACACUGGGACUGAGACACGGCCCAGACUCCUACGGGAGGCAGCAGUGGGGAAUAUUGGACAAUGGGCGAAAGCCUGAUCCAGCAAUGCCGCGUGAGUGAUGAAGGCCUUAGGGUUGUAAAGCUCUUUUACCCGAGAUGAUAAUGACAGUAUCGGGAGAAUAAGCGCCGGCUAACUCCGUG